rnacentral:rRNA from 1 species
GACGAACGCUGGCGGCGUGCUUAACACAUGCAAGUCGAACGGAAAGGCCCUGCUUUUGUGGGGUGCUCGAGUGGCGAACGGGUGAGUAACACGUGAGUAACCUGCCCUUGACUUUGGGAUAACUUCAGGAAACUGGGGCUAAUACCGGAUAGGAGCUCCUGCUGCAUGGUGGGGGUUGGAAAGUUUCGGCGGUUGGGGAUGGACUCGCGGCUUAUCAGCUUGUUGGUGGGGUAGUGGCUUACCAAGGCUUUGACGGGUAGCCGGCCUGAGAGGGUGACCGGCCACAUUGGGACUGAGAUACGGACCAGACUGCUACGGGAGGCAGCAGUGGGGAAUAUUGCACAAUGGGCGGAAGCCUGAUGCAGAAACGCAGCGUGCGGGAUGACGGCCUUCGGGUUGUAAACCGAUUUCGCCUGUGACGAAGCGUGAGUGACGGUAAUGGGUAAAGAAGCACCGGCUAACUACGUG